AUGUGCUUCUGUCUCCCAUGUGGCUGGGUCUAUGCUGAACGCCUUCAGCAAAGCUUUGAGGGUCCCUGAAGCGUAAAGAUGCUCAGCUUUAUCAAAAUCUACUUAUCACAGUAGACAUAUAUAGUAGCAAAUUCCUGUUAGAUAAAGUGUCAGUUGCCUAGAUUUUUUUUCUCUGACGCCUUUCUUCUGCUAGCGCUAUUUUUCACUGCACGACAUGUUGCUGUAUCAUGCUCUUCCAUCUCCCAGGAGGCUGGGUCAAUGCUGAAGGCUGUCAGAUACACUUUGAAGGUAUUCCUAUUGCGUUUCAAUGUGUCCGCCUUGUGAUCACUUCCCUUUUUUUUAAUUGAUUAUUUUUUAGGUAUAUAAUUUAAGUCAACCAGUCAGUGAUGAACAUCAAUAAAUCCCACACAUUUUUUAAAAUGUUUCCUUUUGGUAAGGUGGCACCUUAAGCAUUCUUAUAACUUGUGACUCCAUUUCACAGCGUUGACUCAUACCAUUAUUAAUUACUGAGCAUGUUCUUCUUACUGUUCCUAUUAAUAGUAAGAUCUUACUAAAAUAAAGUGACACUAUUUACAUCUUCCUGUUAAGAUGUAAUGAUAAUUGAUUGUUUAAAUUAUUUGUUAUUUAAAGAAGAAAAAGAGAGAUCAAGUAGAUGCACAAAGAAGAAACAACAACGCAGAAGAAAAAGUAGAGCUUACAAAUUAUACAGAAGGAAAUUUAGAAUCACCUAAUGGUGAUAAUGGAUUGCUUUCUACAGCGUCAUUUGAUUGAGUCCAAUUUUUACUUAGUGACAGUUUUUGUGUUUGAACAUUUCUAUUGCCAAAUAUGUAAAAUAAUUAUCUAAAUAAUUUAGUAAAUUGCGCAUUGUACUUAAUAGUAGCAUAUCCUUGUUCUUUUUUUUCCGCAUAAUUAUUUAUUUAUGCAUGUAAUGAUAUUUAAUAAUUUAUAAUAAACAGCGUAGUUUUUCAGUCCAGUUAACACGUUGCAAAGGUUGUGAUGGCAAUAUUAUUUUAUUACAGUAUCGAAUCAGGAAUAAGUUGUUAUUAUUUAAUUGCUAAUGUUCUGAAGGAAUCGUUUUUACGUUUGCCACACUUGACGACUAGACGUAAUGAAACGAUUUCUACGUCCCUUUCUAACAUUUCCCAUCCUCACCAUUUUCAUUUAAGAACAACUAUUUGUUUCAAAUAAGUAGCCAUCAAUAUUUGAAUAUCCAUUUCUCCGUAUGGGCCUUUUUUCCAAGGCAGUACGCAUUAGGUGGAGGUGGGGGACUGAGCUACAUAGUGUUCUAAAAAUCGUUCUAGUUCGCCAUAUAAUGAAAUAGAGAACUUUAAUAAUAAAUACAGGAUAAUUUUUUUAUUUAUUUUAUAUCCUGUAAAAUAACACGAGUUGCGUUUUUAAAUAAGCUUUUUUAUCAUACAUAAGAUUUAAAAGUAUUAUAAUGUUUAAUGGAUGGUAAU
rnacentral:sRNA from 1 species